rnacentral:lncRNA from 10 species
CCACAUCUAAUUAUAAAAACAUGACUCAUUUUCCUGUUCCUCCUGUUGUCUAUUAUAUUUCAGUGGAAUUCCAGAAUCCCACAUGUUUGCCUCUGCCUCUGCCUGAGAGCUCCAGCUACUGCCUGGGUUAUGUAAACUAAAGACAUAUGGCUGAGAUGGUAAUUCUCACAUAGUUCUUUUUCUCCUGGUUUUGGGAACUCUUUUCUUCAUUGUCUCAAAUCAAGAGAAUUAGGAGGAAGAAUGGGGUCAUGAGAUGUUCCUUCACAAGACAGGAACAAUGCCUGGGGGAGGAAAGUGGCUCAAGCACCAAGGAAGAUUCACAAGGCUCAUGGAUGACCUAGAAAAAUCUCACCUGUCCUCUCCAUGUCUCAGCUCCUCAUCUGUAUAAGGAAAAAAGUUGAGCCAGUUGAUGAACCAGAGGAAAACCCUGUCUCCUUCAUGGCCAUCUCUGAGGUUUCUGCAACCAGAAACCACUGUUUCAUGGCUGAAAAAUGAAAAGAAGUCAAUGUUUUCUAAGGACUCCAUUGCAAGGCAGUUGCAGGACAAGAGUGGAUUUCACAGGCAUCUUAAUUCCUGGCAGUAAUGGCUGAGGGCUGUCUUGGAGACCAGAAGUGGCAGGCAAGAACUCCCUUAACAAAAGAGAGGCAGGGGGAUUAUUUAUUCAAAUGCCCUGAUAGAAGAAGGCCUAAUCAAAGACACCACAGAAAACAAGCCACAGGCAGAUAGGGAAUAUUUGGAACAUGAGAGUGUCAAAAGGAUCCAGGCUUUUGCUAAAGGAAAGGAAAUGACUAGGGGAAAUGGCCUUUUAUAAUUGAGCGGAGCUAUGUCAGAGCUAUGCGCCAAGGGUUGGGGAUUAUUCAAAGUGCAAACACCUUUAUUAUCCUGGUCCUCCCACCCCCAUCACGAAUGAAGUAAGAAUCAUUAGAAUCAGUGCCAGAUUCUGACUGAAAAUAGAGGUCUUCAGAAGUUGGCAAAUUCAACAUGCAAGACUGGCACAAGUGAUAAUGAACUUGUUCUUGGCCACGGCAGUUGAUGACACAAUUUUGCAUAAUUAGAACACCUUUGGAAGUAAGGAGUAAAAAAGGACCCUCCAAUCUGGAAUUGACUGAUUUACAUAAACAUUAGUGUGAUUAGUGGUUUCAACUCUUAAGGUACUUCCUUGUCAUUUACAUUCUAAUUGAUGAUAGGGUAGAAUGCCAAGGGGAGCAACACUGAUGGUGUUUAGUGCCAUACAAAAUGGCCCACGAGGCUGUGGGGAAGUCUGCAAAGUAGGUGUUUCUAGGUUACCAAAGUCAUCUUCUUUUCUUGUGCUUUCCACCCUUUCCUAGAGAAAAUUAAAUUCUAAAACAGCUAAUUUAGAAGUCAAGAAAUUUCAUUAUCAGAAUAAUGCAUUAAGGCGUAUCUGCUAUCUCUUGCUGAGUAAUAAAUCACCCAAAAACAUAGUGACUUAACAACAGUCGUUUUUAACCUCUCCCAGUUUCUGUGGGUCCGGCAUUCAGAGAGGGCUCAGUGGGGAGAUUCUGGUUUGGAGUCCCCCAAGUGGUUGUCAGAAGAAAGGCUGGAGCCAGAACAGCAGAGGGGCUGAAGAAGCUGCAGUCUUGCUAGGCACCUCUGUCUUCACAGAUGGUCUCUCCAUGGGGUCUCUCUAUAAGAGCUAGUUUGAGCCUCUUCACAACAUGGCAGCCUUAGAGUAGUGAAAUGCUCCAGUGCAAGUAUUUCAGCUCCCAACACAGCAGCUGCAUCAACCUUCGUGACCUGGCCUCAGAAGUUUCUGUUGGUUACAAGUGAGUUACAAGCCCCCUUAGGUCCAAGAGAAGGAGAAUUUGAUGUGACUUCUUAAUAGAGAAUGGUGAUAUUCUUGAGGGACAAUGUGGGGUAAGAGAUAGCACUGUGGCCAUCUCUUGAAAAUACAAUAUGGGCGGGGCACGGUGGCUCAUGCCUUUAAUCCCAGCACUCUGGCACAAGGAUGGGCAGUCACCAUGA